AUUGAACGCUGGCGGCAUGCCUUACACAUGCAAGUCGAACGGUAACGGGUCCUUCGGGAUGCCGACGAGUGGCGAACGGGUGAGUAAUAUAUCGGAACGUGCCCAGUAGUGGGGGAUAACUGCUCGAAAGAGCAGCUAAUACCGCAUACGACCUGAGGGUGAAAGGGGGGGAUCGCAAGACCUCUCGCUAUUGGAGCGGCCGAUAUCAGAUUAGCUAGUUGGUGGGGUAAAGGCCUACCAAGGCAACGAUCUGUAGUUGGUCUGAGAGGACGACCAGCCACACUGGGACUGAGACACGGCCCAGACUCCUACGGGAGGCAGCAGUGGGGAAUUUUGGACAAUGGGCGCAAGCCUGAUCCAGCAAUGCCGCGUGCAGGAAGAAGGCCUUCGGGUUGUAAACUGCUUUUGUCAGGGAAGAAAUCUUCUGGGCUAAUACCCCGGGAGGAUGACGGUACCUGAAGAAUAAGCACCGGCUAACUACGUGCCAGCAGCCGCGGUAAUACGUAGGGUGCGAGCGUUAAUCGGAAUUACUGGGCGUAAAGCGUGCGCAGGCGGCUUUGCAAGACAGAUGUGAAAUCCCCGGGCUCAACCUGGGAGCUGCAUUUGUGACUGCAAGGCUAGAGUACGGCAGAGGGGGAUGGAAUUCCGCGUGUAGCAGUGAAAUGCGUAGAUAUGCGGAGGAACACCAAUGGCGAAGGCAAUCCCCUGGGCCUGUACUGACGCUCAUGCACGAAAGCGUGGGGAGCAAACAGGAUUAGAUACCCUGGUAGUCCACGCCCUAAACGAUGUCAACUGGUUGUUGGACGGCUUGCUGUUCAGUAACGAAGCUAACGCGUGAAGUUGACCGCCUGGGGAGUACGGCCGCAAGGUUGAAACUCAAAGGAGUUGACGGGGACCCGCACAAGCGGUGGAUGAUGUGGUUUAAUUCGAUGCAACGCGAAAAACCUUACCUACCCUUGACAUGUCAAGAAUUCUGCAGAGAUGUGGAAGUGCUCGAAAGAGAACUUGAACACAGGUGCUGCAUGGCCGUCGUCAGCUCGUGUCGUGAGACGUUGGGUUAAGUCCCGCAACGAGCGCAACCCUUGUCAUUAGUUGCUACGCAAGAGCACUCUAAUGAGACUGCCGGUGACAAACCGGAGGAAGGUGGGGAUGACGUCAGGUCCUCAUGGCCCUUAUGGGUAGGGCUACACACGUCAUACAAUGGCCGGUACAGAGGGCUGCCAACCCGCGAGGGGGAGCCAAUCCCAGAAAACCGGUCGUAGUCCGGAUCGUAGUCUGCAACUCGACUGCGUGAAGUCGGAAUCGCUAGUAAUCGCGGAUCAGCUUGCCGCGGUGAAUACGUUCCCGGGUCU
rnacentral:rRNA from 1 species